GGUAUCAGUCCACUAGCAUAUCUCUUGCAAGCUGAGAGAAGUUAAUAUAAAGCAUUGUAAUCGCUUUCACAGCCUCCAGGACUCAUAAGACACCAUAAGAAGAAGUUUCUCAAUCUUAAAGUGUUCUAUAAGAUACUAAAUCUUAAGUCUCCUGGAGGCCACUGGGGAAAUGAAAAGGCUUUGGUUUCUACGAAGAAGAAACAGACUAUCUAAGAUAGGACCAUGAAGAAGGAGUAAAACCAAGGGAAGACAUGCUAACGCUAAACAAAGCUGGGAGGAGAAUAUCCAUCAUUUCCAGAUGUGGACAUAUGAUCCAGGAGGCAAUUGAAGGUCUGUGGUUUAAGAAGUUACCUAGUCUUCUGCUCAUGCUCCACUAAUGACAGUUACCAGAAAAUGUUGUAAUGUUGAUAUUACUUAGGAAGGCUUUGACUGUCCAGCAUCCAUACCGACAGCAUUAAGUAAAGAAAUUCUGAGCCAGUAAAACAGGCUCCAUGGUCACAGGACACCAGCUUUGGCCGUACUACAUUGUCAUUCAUUCCUCCCCACCACACGCGUGCCUGACCAUAUAGGAAAAUGAGUUUACAACCGACUACGCCUAUGGGACUCCCGGAGGGAUACAAUGUGAGAGCCUUUACUAGUGGAGGAUAGUUCUCAAAAGGUCUGAAAGUUUGACAGGUGGCAGCAAUACAAGUGGGAUAUCAUCCAGAAGCAGCUCAUGGGGACCAAAGUAUGGACCCCUUCCAGAGGCUUGAGGCAAGAAGGGGCUUUCAAAUCCAACCUUCUCCAUGGAUUUGAAAGGCCUGCUUAGAACCUAAGAAGGCACUAAGCCUAAGCAGCCUGAAUGAAACCCCUUCUUCAAGCAGCCAAUGUUAGCUGCAGAGGAGUGGAACUGCACUCUUGGCCCAUUCAGGGGCAGACUGUGAUUUUAGUCAGUCAGUAACCACAUAUAAUUAGAAGGUAAUGUUUAUUACACAUCCUGAUUACUGAUACUAGUCAUAGAAAGUAUUAUUUUCAGUUUUUUUUUUUUUUAAUUAAAAAACAAAGUAAUUUUAUUCUCACACUGAUCUGGAAAAUAAAUACAUUUUUCUCAGUAACUCCAGUGUGGCCAAAAUGGACUAAUGCUUAAGGAAAACAGCUAUGCAAAGGUGUUU